rnacentral:rRNA from 1 species
CCUACGGGAGGCUGCAGUGAGGAAUAUUGGUCAAUGGCCGAGAGGCUGAACCAGCCAAGUCGCGUGAGGGAAGACGGCCCUACGGGUUGUAAACCUCUUUUGUCGGGGAGCAAAGCGAACCACGUGUGGUUCAUUGAGAGUACCCGAAGAAAAAGCAUCGGCUAACUCCGUGCCAGCAGCCGCGGUAAUACGAAGGAUGCGAGCGUUAUCCGGAUUUAUUGGGUUUAAGGGGUGCGAGGGGGGAGGUGCAAGUCAGCGGUAAAAUUGCGGGGCUCAACCCCGUACUGCCGUUGAAACUGCAUCCCUUGAGUGCACGAGAGGUAUGCGGAAUGCGUGGUGUAGCGGUGAAAUGCAUAGAGAUCACGCAGAACUCCGAUUGCGAAGGCAGCAUACCGGCGCGCAACUGACGCUCAUGCACGAAAGCGUGGGUAGCGAACAGGAUUAGAUACCCCUGUAGUC